AUGCAGACCUUACUACACAUGCUGAAUUCUUCAUCAACAUCCUCAAAGAGACAUGGACCCGUCACUACGAAAACUCAAGGGUCCAGAUCAAUCAUUUUCCAAUCGAGUAUGUUGCGACUACACUGCAAGGAAACCGGCAUGACUACGGGUUUCACAAGUUGGAAUACCUUGCUAAGUGGUAAGGCCGACGGGUCCCCGUCGUCACAGCUGCAAUGGUUGUUGAGCUUCGCAAAAUAUACACAUGGAACUGGUUGA
rnacentral:rRNA from 1 species